rnacentral:misc_RNA from 1 species
AAGAAAAUCAUGGAUCUAAGAAGACCGAGGUACAUUUUAAUCUUCCUCGAUGGUUCGGCAUAAUAUGCUUCGAAAAUGCGCCGUUCGCGUCUCCGAGGAUACAACGUGUCUCAACCAAGGUGCAUUGCAGUCCUGUAAUUGGACACCACUAAUGCACCUCAACCUCGUUUGUCGAACGUGAAGGGAAUGAAAAGGAAGAAACAGGAAAGAUCGAGCAGCCGCAAAGAACGAGAGGGAAAGAAGGAAAAAGAGGAAGGAAGGAUGGAUGGAAAGGAGA